GACUGUGAAGGCGAUCUGGCUGCAGCAUUUAUCUCCUCACUGAAGACAACGGUUGAUUCUACUGAACUGACAGGCUAGAAUAGGUGUCCCCUUCCUUCACAGCUCCAGAAUAUAUAAGUAGCUGUCCUCUCCUCAUAGAACCUCAAAAUAAGCUCUCAAGGAGAGGAAAACCACUUAGUUCAGAGACUCACAUCUUUUGAUAUUUGUUAGAGGCCUCUGGUCAAGCCUGAAGACUGGCAAUUUGAGAAAAUAAAAGAGACACACAAAAGGCAAUCUUCUACCUUCUUGU
rnacentral:snRNA from 1 species